UACAGAGGGGGGCAAGCGUUGUUCGGAAUUACUGGGCGUAAAGGGCGCGUAGGCGGCCUUCUAAGUCGAACGUGAAAUCCCCGGGCUCAACCCGGGAACUGCGUCCGAUACUGGAAGGCUUGAAUCCGGGAGAGGGAUGCGGAAUUCCAGGUGUAGCGGUGAAAUGCGUAGAUAUCUGGAGGAACACCGGUGGCGAAGGCGGCAUCCUGGACCGGUAUUGACGCGUGAGGCGCGACAGCGUGGGGAGCAAACAGG
rnacentral:rRNA from 1 species